rnacentral:lncRNA from 1 species
UCUGUCUCUCUUACAUCUUAUUCUCUUGUUCUUACUCUUGCUCCCUUCCUCCUCCUCUCUCCUCCUUCCUUUCCCUGCCUCUCAGCGUGGCCAUGGUCGGUCUACUUCUCUACUGUCUCCCUCUCUCUACCUUUCUACUAUAAAUACUUUAAAACCAUGGACUGCCUGUUUUCAUUGGACCCACUGUGCUGGAGCAAUGGAGCAGGUCUCCCUCUAACAAGCCACACAUCUAACCUCCCACAGGAAGCCUCCCUGUUCUCCGGCCACAGCUGCCACCCAACCCAGCCACUGAACAAGACAAGGACUCUCAUCGCCGUGGUAACCAGUUUUGGAUGACUUCGGCAAGAAUUGCUUCUCUUGAGGUUUCUAGCAAAUGCAGCAAUCAAACUGUGGUCCAGAGUGACGAACUGACCGGUUGUCUUAAGGAAGCUUCGGGAACACGGGGCAAGCCUUGCCUUGUUGAAUCAGUGAUAUGAUACAGAGGUCACAGAAACUUGAACAUGGGUCACCUUCUUGCCUGCUCGCUAUCCCUCUGUCACCUUCAAACAUUUCUGAUGUGAUUUACAAUGGGCAUCAAGACUCACAGAAUUUGUUUCAAUGGUGAUCCGUAAGCAUACAUUCUUUGUGAUCUUCACCCAGAACACUGUAUGGGAAGCAUCAAAAUCAGUCCUGUGCAGUGCUCUUC